rnacentral:rRNA from 1 species
UACGGAGGGGGGCUAGCGUUGUUCGGAAUUACUGGGGCGUAAAGCGCACGUAGGCGGCUUUGUAAGUUAGAGGUGAAAGCCCGGGGCUCAACUCCGGAAUUGCCUUUAAGACUGCAUCGCUAGAAUUGUGGAGAGGUAAGUGGAAUUCCGAGUGUAGAGGUGAAAUUCGUAGAUAUUCGGAAGAACACCAGUGGCGAAGGCGGACUUACUGGACACAUAUUGACGCUGAGGUGCGAAAGCGUGGGGAGCAAACAGG